UGUUCGCGUCGCCCCGGCGGACCGAAAGGGAAUCGGGUUAAUAUUCCCGAACCUCGACGCGGAGAUUGGCGCUCCGGCGCCUAGUGCGGCAACGCAAACGAACUCGGAAACGCCGACGUGGGUCCCGGGAAGAGUUCUCUUUUCUUGGUAAGGGGCGGCGACCCUGGAAUCGGUUCGCCCGGAGAUAGGGACAUGGGCCCCGUAAAGCAGCACGUCUCUUGUGCUGUCCGGUGAGCUCGCGUCGGCCCUUGAAAAUCCGAGGGAGACGGUGUAAUUUUCGUGCGAGGUCGUGCCCAUAUCCGCAGCAGGUCUCCAAGGUGAACAGCCUCUGGCCGAUAGAACAAUGUAGGUAAGGGAAGUCGGCAAACUAGAUCCGUAACUUCGGGAAAAGGAUUGGCUCUAGGGGCUGGGUCGGUCGGGCUGAGGUACGAAGCGGGGCGCGGCGCUGUACCGGACUGGGCGAACGACGGCCUCCCUCGCGGGGGGCUGGCGUGAGCCUGGACCUGUGUCGGCGUCUUCCCGUGGAAUGCCGCAGCUAACGCGGGCCUCGCGGCCCGCUUCGGCCGGCGUCGAACA
rnacentral:ncRNA from 1 species